AGAGUUUGAUCCUGGCUCAGGAUGAACGCUGGCGGCGUGCUUAACACAUGCAAGUCGAACGAACCUUCGGGUUAGUGGCGGACGGGUGAGUAACGCGUGAGAAUCUGCCCUCAGGAGGGGGAUAACGGUUGGAAACGACCGCUAAUACCCCAUAUGCCGAUAGGUGAAAUGAAUUUCGCCUGAGGAUGAGCUCGCGUCUGAUUAGCUUGUUGGUGAGGUAAUGGCUUACCAAGGCUUCGAUCAGUAGCUGGUCUGAGAGGAUGAUCAGCCACACUGGGACUGAGACACGGCCCAGACUCCUACGGGAGGCAGCAGUGGGGAAUUUUCCGCAAUGGGCGAAAGCCUGACGGAGCAACGCCGCGUGAGGGACGAAGGCCUCUGGGCUGUAAACCUCUUUUCUCAAGGAAGAAGAUAUGACGGUACUUGAGGAAUAAGCCACGGCUAAUUCCGUGCCAGCAGCCGCGGUAAUACGGGAGUGGCAAGCGUUAUCCGGAAUUAUUGGGCGUAAAGCGUCCGCAGGCGGCCUUUCAAGUCUGCUGUUAAAGCGUGGAGCUUAACUCCAUUAUGGCAGUGGAAACUGAUAGGCUUGAGUAUGGUAGGGGCAGAGGGAAUUCCCGGUGUAGCGGUGAAAUGCGUAGAUAUCGGGAAGAACACCAGUGGCGAAGGCGCUCUGCUGGGCCAUUACUGACGCUCAUGGACGAAAGCCAGGGGAGCGAAAGGGAUUAGAUACCCCUGUAGUCCUGGCCGUAAACGAUGAACACUAGGUGUCGGGGGAAUCGACCCCUUCGGUGUCGUAGCUAACGCGUUAAGUGUUCCGCCUGGGGAGUACGCACGCAAGUGUGAAACUCAAAGGAAUUGACGGGGGCCCGCACAAGCGGUGGAGUAUGUGGUUUAAUUCGAUGCAACGCGAAGAACCUUACCAGGGUUUGACAUCCUGAGAACCUCUUAGAAAUUUGAGGGUGCCUUCGGGAAUUCAGUGACAGGUGGUGCAUGGCUGUCGUCAGCUCGUGUCGUGAGAUGUUGGGUUAAGUCCCGCAACGAGCGCAACCCACGUUUUUAGUUGCCAGCAUUUAGUUGGGCACUCUAGAAAGACCGCCGGUGAUAAACCGGAGGAAGGUGUGGAUGACGUCAAGUCAUCAUGCCCCUUACACCCUGGGCUACACACGUACUACAAUGCUACGGACAAAGGGCAGCAAACUCGCGAGAGCUAGCAAAUCCCAUAAACCGUGGCUCAGUUCAGAUCGUAGGCUGCAACUCGCCUACGUGAAGUAGGAAUCGCUAGUAAUCGCAGGUCAGCAUACUGCGGUGAAUACGUUCCCGGGCCUUGUACACACCGCCCGUCACACCAUGGAAGUUGGCCAUGCCCGAAGUCGUUACUCCAACCCUUGUGGAGGAGGACGCCGAAGGUGGGGCUAAUGACUGGGGUGAAGUCGUAACAAGGUAGCCGUACCGGAAGGUGCGGCUG
rnacentral:rRNA from 2 species